AGCUAUUAAUGGCUCGGUGAUAGAGGAUUGCACGUCACCGGGAGGUUAAUAUGCUUU
rnacentral:pre_miRNA from 1 species